AUUGAACGCUGGCGGCAUGCUUUACACAUGCAAGUCGGACGAGUGGCGAACGGGUGAGUAAUAUAUUGGAACGUACCGAGUAAUGGGGGAUAACCAAUCGAAAGAUUGGCUAAUACCGCAUAUUAUUCGAGCGGCCCAUAUCUGAUUAGCUAGUAGGUGGGGUAAAGGCCUACCAAGGCGACGAUCAGUAGCGGGUCUGCGAGGAUGAUCGGCAACACUGGGACGGAGACACUGCCCAGACUCCUACGGGAGGCGGCAGUGGGGAAUUUGGGACAAUGGGCGCAAGCCGGAACCAGCCAGGCCACGGGUGUGAAGAAGGCCUUCGGGUUGUAAAGUACAUUUGUUAGGGAAGCGGUACCUAAAGAAUAAGCACCGGCUAACUACGUGCCAGCGGCCGCGGUAAUUC
rnacentral:rRNA from 1 species